rnacentral:rRNA from 1 species
UACGUAGGGGGCGAGCGUUGUCCGGAAUCAUUGGGCGUAAAGAGCUCGUAGGCGGCUUGGCAAGUCGGGUGUGAAAUCUCUGGGCUUAACUCAGAGAGGCCACUCGAUACUGCUAUGGCUAGAGUCCGGUAGGGGACCAUGGAAUUCCUGGUGUAGCGGUGAAAUGCGCAGAUAUCAGGAGGAACACCGGUGGCGAAGGCGGUGGUCUGGGCCGGUACUGACGCUGAGGAGCGAAAGCGUGGGGAGCGAACAGG